UCUGGUUCCCAGGAGAUAAGCUGAGUUUGUGAUUGUAAGGAAGGGAGUGAAUGUAGCUAGUUUUCCUGGCACCGGAGGAAGAAGGGUGAGGAAAAAAAAAAAAAAAAAAGCAUUCUCUUAUUAAUGUCAGCAGGGCUAUACGAAUUGCCAAGAGCAAAUGUUCUUAAAUUGAUGAUGUCUAUGAUAACUUAUUAAAAUGUUCAUUUAUUAAAAUCUGUGGUCAUUCAAAUAAAUGGCAUUACCUUAUUGCUAAUUUGUGGGUAAUUAUAUUCUUUAGUGGAGAAGGUCACUUAAUUAUUUCAAAUUUCUGACUCCUAAGUCUGACUGUAGGAACUGAUCCUGAUCAGCUGGGAGAAUUAGCUGAGUAGCUACGCAAGGUGACUGAAAUGUAAAGGACCCCUGAUAUGGGAGAGAGAACCUAUUGGUGGCAGAAAUGUGUGACUGAGAAGGCGCUGAUACAGAACAAUCCAUUCAGUUUUAAAGAGGGCAGCGAUUAGGGCAACUUUCUACAGAAGAAGCUGAGGAAUCCCAGAUCUGUGACUCAAAGCCUGAGGUGAUGAUAGCCACCGGGACUGCUUCAUUUCCUCCCCUGUGGAAGGACAACCUUGAGCUUGCCUGUGUACACUUUUGCUUCAUGUUCAUCUUCAAGGACUUUGGACAAACUUGUCCCUCUUUCAUGAAAAAGUGACAAUAACAACUACCCAACUAACAAACAAAACCAGGAAAAAAGUGGGCCCGUGAACUUGCGGAGGAAUUGCACAAGCUGCUAGAACCCGAAUCUCCUUAUAUUUAUUCUUUUCCUUCAAGGGCAAAAGCAUGACAAUGUUUUAGAGACGCUCAUCACUCUGAGUUAGUUCUAAACUACUGAAAUCUUGGUUUGAGACAUUUUCUUAUGCCAAGAAUAAAGAAAACCAUUUUUC
ensembl:lncRNA